CAGGAAUGUUUGGGGAUUUCUGUGUAACCCAGCCCUAGAAAAGCUGAGUUCGGAGAUAUAGCUACUAAAUUCUUGAGCUCUUGCACAAGCUCAGACUAUUAUCACUAUGCCGAAAAUAACUUCCAGUUGUUCUAAGGCGUUCAAGAAUCGAAUUACUUAAUAACGUACUCUUAUAUCUGGAUUAAGGUAUCAGACCAACAGAAAACCAUGCAAGAUCUGAUUGGAUGACAUAAAAGGAUGUUGCAUAAGAAUCGAAGCUGUCAUAUGCUGAAGAAUAACAAAGAUUAAGAAACUAAGGAUCACAGAAAGCAAAGUAACUGCUUUGAUGAAUAGAAGCCAGGAUUUGGCCCUGGGAACCUGCCUAAGCCUCAACUUUUGGCCACUAGAACUCUCUUAACCUCAGGAAUGCACUAGAGAAGAAUUCUCAGAUUGGUAAAAGGGGUCGAUAUUGUCCCUGAGCAAGGUAAGGGAUGAGGCCAGAGCAGGGGCGUCAAGCCUGAGCCAGACAGUUGUUUGGAUGUGUGGAGAAGCCCAGAAUAAGGCAAUGUGAAGAGGUGGGAACUGAGAAAAGUUGGGGAGUGCCUGCCUUAAGGCGUUUACAUUUUAAAAAUAUGUUUUAAAUCCUGCACUGUUCACAUAAAAGAGGCUGCUGGUGGGUCUGGUGCCCAGGGGCCUGUGCCCAUUUGCUGCCCCUGGUCCAGAUGACCUCUGGCAGUCCUUCCAGAACUAACAUCUUGGGAAAAAUUAGAAAUAUUUGUUCAGAGUCUUUUGUGACUUGAAUUUAUCGAUGUAGGCCAAUAGUCUACAAUCUGGCUAGGUUAUAAUGGUCAUUGAUAAAUAACUUUUGAUUGCAUGUUGAAUUCAUUCAGUGUUGUGAAUUUGUCUUUGUUUUUUAUGGUACUUUUUAAUCUGACGUAACAAAGAGCUAAUGGAUUGUGGAGUCAUAUGGCCUGGUUUUGAACCUUGG
rnacentral:lncRNA from 1 species